rnacentral:rRNA from 1 species
CCUACGGGUGGCAGCAGUCGAGAAUCAUUCACAAUGGGGGAAACCCUGAUGGUGCGACGCCGCGUGGGGGAAUGAAGGUCUUCGGAUUGUAAACCCCUGUCAUGUGGGAGCAAAUUAAAAAGAUAGUACCACAAGAGGAAGAGACGGCUAACUCUGUGCCAGCAGCCGCGGUACUACAGAGGUCUCAAGCGUUGUUCGGAAUCACUGGGCGUAAAGCGUGCGUAGGCUGUUUCGUAAGUCGUGUGUGAAAGGCGCGGGCUCAACCCGCGGCCGGCACAGGAUACGGCGAGACUAGAGUAAUGGAGGGGGAACCGGAAUUCUCGGUGUAGCAGUGAAAUGCGUAGAUAUCGAGAGGAACACUCGGGGCGAAGGCGGGUUCCUGGACAUUAACUGACGCUGAGGCACGAAGGCCAGGGGAGCGAAAGGGAUUAGAUACCCUAGUAGUC